GAUGAACGCUGGCGGCGUGCCUAAUACAUGCAAGUCGAGCGAACAGACGAGGAGCUUGCUCCUCUGACGUUAGCGGCGGACGGGUGAGUAACACGUGGAUAACCUACCUAUAAGACUGGGAUAACUUCGGGAAACCGGAGCUAAUACCGGAUAAUAUAUUGAACCGCUUGGUUCAAUAGUUAAAGACGGUUUUGCUGUCACUUAUAGACGGAUCCGCGCUGCAUUAGCUAGUUGGUAAGGUAACGGCUUACCAAGGCGACGAUGCGUAGCCGACCUGAGGGGGUGAUCGGCCACACUGGAACUGAGACACGGUCCAGACUCCUACGGGAGGCAGCAGUAGGGAAUCUUCCACAAUGGGCGAAAGCCUGACGGAGCAACGCCGCGUGAGUGAUGAAGGUCUUCGGAUCGUAAAACUCUGUUAUUAGGGAAGAACAAAUGUGUAAGUAACUAUGCACGUCUUGACGGUACCUAAUCAGAAAGCCACGGCUAACUACGUG
rnacentral:rRNA from 1 species